GACGAACGCUGGCGGCGUGCUUAACACAUGCAAGUCGAGCGAUGAAGCUCCUUCGGGAGUGGAUUAGCGGCGGACGGGUGAGUAACACGUGGGUAACCUGCCUCAUAGAGGGGAAUAGCCUUUCGAAAGGAAGAUUAAUACCGCAUAAGAUUGUAGUAUCGCAUGAUACAGCAAUUAAAGGAGUAAUCCGCUAUGAGAUGGACCCGCGUCGCAUUAGCUAGUUGGUGAGGUAACGGCUCACCAAGGCGACGAUGCGUAGCCGACCUGAGAGGGUGAUCGGCCACAUUGGGACUGAGACACGGCCCAGACUCCUACGGGAGCAG
rnacentral:rRNA from 1 species